rnacentral:tRNA from 1 species
UCCAUUGCUCAGUUGGUAAAGCAUAAAGCUCUUAACCUUGUGGAUGUGGGUUCAAGACCUACGAUGGAA